GAAGAGAGCACCACAUAGCUUCUGAAGACAGCUACUGACGAACCUGUAUCACCAUGAAGCUUACACUGUUGCUCGCUUUCUCAGUGACCUUGAUGGUCGCAUUUACUUCCGUCACCGCUGAGCCUGAACCUGAGGCUGAUCCCGGGUUUGCCAGGUUGCUUUUCAAGGGCUAUGGUAAAGGCGGCAAGGGUAAAGGCUUAUUUGGUAAAGGCUUAUUUGGUAAAGGUUUUGGAAAGGGCCAUGGUAAAGGACUGUUCAAGGGACCAGCUUACGUCCGUGCUCCUGCCUAUCACCACCAACCUAUCUACCACCACCAGCCUAUCUACCACCACCACCAGCCUUCCUACCACCACCAGUCUUCCUACCACUAACAGCCUAACACCAACAACACAAUUUCCACUAGCAGCUCUCGUAACACCACCAGCUUCCUCGUCUCCAGCGUCCCACUAGUCAUUAACAACCUCCCGCCCAUCAAGGUCAAACUUAUCACCACACGCCCGUCGAAGAGUAGCAUUCCUACCACCACACCCAGGCCGUCUGUCACCAGCAGCACGGAGGAAGAUCACCAGUAACAGCGGCUGCCGUCUCUAGCUUCCCCGUGGCAGGAGAGACUCAUCCAUGUUACCUUUACCUGACGGCAGGCACUCGUCACUUAUGGCAUAGUGAAAGUGGUGUCAGAGAGAGAGAGAGAGAGAGAGAGAGAGAGAGUGUGUGUGUGUGUGUGUGUGUGUGUGUGUGUGUGUGUGUGAUCGCACCAACUCUCGUGGUCGAUAGUGAUGCGAUUUUUCGUCAGUGUAAGAUCCCUGUCCACAUUUUCCAAUAAAAUCAAUCCAUUAAAAUAUGAA